GACAGAGGGGGCAAGCGUUGCUCGGAAUUACUGGGCGUAAAGAGCUCGUAGGCGGUCUGUCGCGUCGGAUGUGAAAGCCCGGGGCUUAACCCCGGGUCUGCAUUCGAUACGGGCAGACUAGAGUGUGGUAGGGGAGAUCGGAAUUCCUGGUGUAGCGGUGAAAUGCGCAGAUAUCGGGAGGAACACCAGUGGCGAAGGCGACUACCUGGCCUGUUUCUUGACGCUGAGGCGCGAAAGCUAGGGGAGCAAACGGGG
rnacentral:rRNA from 1 species